GAUGAACGCUAGCUACAGGCUUAACACAUGCCAGUCGCAGGGUAACAUGAGGAAAGCUUGCUUUCCUUGAUGACGACUGGCGCACGGGUGAGUAACGCGUAUCCAACCUUCCCAUAACUACGGGAUAACCCGUUGAAAGACGGCCUAAUACCGUAUGACAUCGUUUGCUGACAUCAAAUAACGAUUAAAGGGUUAGCGGAUAGGGAUGGGGAUGCGUCUGAUUAGCUUGUUGGCGGGGUAACGGCCCACCAAGGCGACGAUCAGUAGGGGUUCUGAGAGGAAGGUCCCCCACAUUGGAACUGAGACACGGUCCAAACUCCUACGGGAGGCAGCAGUGAGGAAUAUUGGUCAAUGGGCUAGAGCCUGAACCAGCCAAGUAGCGUGCAGGAUGACGGCCCUAUGGGUUGUAAACUGCUUUUAUGUGGGGAUAAAGUGCGUGACGUGUCAUGCAUUGCAGGUACCACAUGAAUAAGGACCGGCUAAUUCCGUG
rnacentral:rRNA from 1 species